UUUCUUAUCAUACUUCACAAAAAUGCCAUAAUAUCUAACAAUACAAGGGGAAAACAGAGUUGUACGAUGUACUAAAUGUCGCGAUUUCCCCUCCGUGUUUUGGUUUCUCUAUCAGUUUUUGGGGCAAAUUUCAAGAAAUCUAGGGCAAAUCCGAAAUGUAAAAAUAACUCCUCCUCUGAUAAACAAAUCUCUCCUGCGUCAAAUCUCUUCUUCCUUCAUCUUCAUCACCAUUAACACCGUAUAACACCAUCACCACUACCAUCCCAUCACCACCACUGUCGUUCCUUCAAUUUAAUUGGGUUUGAAAUCAAAACCAACUCUCCUUCAAUCACCACCACAAAUUUUUUUUCAUUCGAUUCUCCUUCGAUCUGUCACAACCACCACCAUGAAUCCCCUUAAAUCUCCGACAAUCACUGCCACAAAUCUUCAAAAAGCACCCCUACCAACCUCCUUCAAUUUCAUACGCAAAUUAAUACCAGCAACACCAUCACCGUCAUUAGUUUCACAAAUGAUUUAUUUAGUACGACCCUCAUUUACUUCACCCUCACCGCCACCGUAACCACCGCCACCAAAUACGUCAUACAAAAGAAAUCAAUAUUCAAAAUUUCUACCCUAACCAACCACCACCCUCUAUUACUUUGACUUUCACCACCACCAUCAACACCAGCUCCACCACCACCGAUGAAUCAUUUUUUUUCUUUUUCCGAACCUGCAAUUCGAUUUUAAAUUUUAAAUUUCAUGAUCUCAGUCAACCCAGAAUCAGAUCAAAAUCUUUGUUAACCGACAUCCAGCAGAAAUUAAUUUUUUUUAGUCUAUUGAACUAAUCACAUACAAUUACAGAAAUCGCACUAUAGUUGUUAGAUUAUUAUCUAUAUUAUAAAAAGAAGUGGUGUGUGUGUAGCUUUACAAAUCCGACCAUCGAUUUUGUCAUCCCACAACUAGGAUCGCUCAGUUGUAUGUUUUAUAUAAAAAUAUAUGAUCGUCCGAUUCGUUGGGUUUCCUGAUUUCGGUAAAUUUGGGUAGGUUUCCGUAAUAUGUCUUUUUCCUGCUAAAUUUCAAAACAGAAUUCCAGAACAUGGUUUAAUAAGGAAACGGAGGCGGUAGAAUUUCGAGUCUAAAUAAAGUACCACCAACGUUUCAAACCCUAUAAAAACUAUGCAAUUUGAUUGGCAUCUUCCGCAGUUUUUUGUUUCUGCAUAUUUCUCUGCAACAUUGGCAGCAGACAUGGAAGACGGGUGAUAAAGGAGUCAAUGAGAUUCUACCCUUCAUCCCCUUUUAUUGCAAGAGAAGCAUCAAAACAAGUGGAGAUAGGAGGAUAUGUCCUUCCACAGGGUACAUGGAUCUGGUUCUCACCUAGGAUCCUAACCAAACACCCUAAGAAUUUUUCAAAGACAUCCAUAUGCUUUGAUUCCGUUUGGACUUGGACCGCGACAACGUAUUGGAGUGAAAUUUUCCAUGCGAGAGAUGAAGCUGACGCUAAUUCAUCUCUACCAAAGAUAUUUGUUUAAACAUUCUCCAAGUAUGGAAAGACCUGUUGAUCUGGAGUAUGGAAUCAUUCUCAACUUCAAAUAUGACGUCAAGUUGAGAGUUAUUAAAAUAAGAAGUUAGCUUGAUAUUUAUAGAUCUGUAGACCUAAGAAAUUAACAUGGUGGGUUAGGCAUUCAUAACUUGAAAUUGGUGAACAAAGUAUUAACGACCAAGUGGAUAUGGUGAUAUUCAAAAGAAAUAAGGCUUUUUGGGGUAAAGUUAUGGCAAAGCAGACGAAGACAGACUCAAGAUAUCAAUUACAAUAUAUAUAAACUCGGUUUCUCUCUGGUAAAUUGCUAUCUAUUUUGAAAACAUGGAUAAACAAUGGGAGGAGCACUCAAAUUUUGGAGAGAUCGGUGGGUAUCGAACAAAUGCUCAAAGGAAAAAUAUCCAAAAUUGUUUAGAUUAAGUUCGAAUAAGACGCUAUGGUUGGUGAUUUUUACAAUUCUAAUAGUUGGAACUGCAAUUUAGACUAGCAGUUGAUCCAGCAGAAAGCAAUCAUUUGCUUGAGCUAAGACAUUACGCGCGAAGCAUUUAUUUUAAACUUCGUGUUGGAGGGUAACACCUCCACUUCAGGUGGACUGUAAACAAAGGCAUAUACAUGCAUCUAUAAAUGGAUAAUGCUUUUAAAAAACUUCCGCCUAAAGUUUCUUUCAUUAUAUGGCCAAUCCAACAUAACUCUCUCCCAUCAAGAAGUUCGCUGCAAAGAGACUUCUCUUUCGAAUCAAGUCGUAAUUUUUAGC